GGAGGCGGCGGCUAUUGUUCCCCGCAGGGGCCCGGGGCGCCCUGAAACGGGGUCCACGUCAGCCCGCUCCCGAGCGUGUCCUCAGAUCUGGGGACCCUUCACCUGCCUCUACUACUGCAAAUGAUUGGAUAUUCGUCUGACUUGGCUCUUCCCUAAUGUGUGGAACUAAUUUUGUUCACUCUGUUUCAUGCUGGACCUGGCCUGAAAAUGGGCCCUUAUAUUGUCUUUGCACUUUCCAACUUGCCAAGUUUCUGAAAGAAGGACCAAAGUAAUGCCAAGAACUCCCAGAUGAAGAGGACCUUCCUUAGACCUAUAACAGAUUCACUACUUGACUUCAGAGGGAAGUUUCAGCUAAUUCUCAGGAAAAGGUCAAAACAGGCCUGUGACUGUCCCUUGAAUACUGAAGGCUCUUCAGGUUUCUUUUGAUAUCUGUGGAGGCGAAUCUGGAACAAAAUGGAAAACUCU
ensembl:lncRNA HAGLR HOXD antisense growth-associated long non-coding RNA